GCUGGGCCCCGUUUCCCGAAAGCAUCUUUAGCCUAAGUGGAUCGCAGAGUGGGUCGUACGAGCAUCGUACAGUUUUCACACCGUUUCCCGAAAGCAUCUUUGGAAAUGUUUGAGCAGGCAGGGCACUUAAAAUGUGUGAGAGAAAGUGGGGGGGAUUUGUGCAGACUGACAAAGGCUACUCAUAAAACGUAGCCUAAAAUAAUGUAAUGUAAUAAUGUAAAAUAAAAAAAUAAUAAAAUUAUUAAUUAUAAAAAUAUAAAAAAAAAUGCAAAGGAGCAGGCAAAAGGCUGGGAUAUGGUGGGGAUUGGUCACGUUGACGGGAAUGUUUAGUGACAUGUGGGAGGGUGGA